CAGCCGCCACGGUAAUACGUAGGUGGCAAGCGUUGUCCGGAAUUAUUGGGCGUAAAGGGCUCGCAGGCGGUUUCUUAAGUCUGAUGUGAAAGCCCCCGGCUCAACCGGGGAGGGUCAUUGGAAACUGGGAAACUUGAGUGCAGAAGAGGAGAGUGGAAUUCCACGUGUAGCGGUGAAAUGCGUAGAGAUGUGGAGGAACACCAGUGGCGAAGGCGACUCUCUGGUCCGUAACUGACGCUGAGGAGCGAAAGCGUGGGGAGCGAACAGGAUUAGAUACCCCCGUAGUCCCUGUCUCUUAUAC
rnacentral:rRNA from 1 species